CUUUGUUUCAUCUUUACCUGCAUCCUCUUCCUAAUUGUUCUAUUUGUUGCUCCUCCUCUCACUCCCCCUCUUCCUCUCUGCUCCUCUCUCUGCUGCUCCUCUUCCUCUGUCUGCUCCUCCUCCUGUCUGCUCCCCCUCAUCACUGCUGCUCCUCCUCCUCUUUCUGUCUCCUCCUCCUCUGUCUGCUCCUCCUCUUCCUCUCUCUGCUCCUCUCUCUGCUGCUCCUCUUCCUCUGUCUGCUCCUCUCUGCUCCCCCUCCUCACUGCUGCUCCUCCAACUCUUUCUGUCUCCUCCUCCUCUGUCUGCUCCUCCUCUUCCUCUCUGCUCCUCUCUCUGCUGCUCCUCCUCUUCCUCUCUCUGCUCCUCUCUGCUGCUCCUCUUCCUCUGUCUGCUCCUCCUCUUCCUCUCUGCUCCUCCUCUUCCUCUCUGCUGCUGCUCCUCCUCUCUGCUGCUCCUCUCUGCUGCUGCUCUUCUCUCUGCUCCUUGUUGCUCCUCCUCUCUGCUUCUCCCCUUCUCUGCUCCUCCUGUCUGCUCCUCACUGCUGCUCCUCCUCCUCUCUGCUGCUCUUCUCUCUGCUCCUCCUUGUUGCUCCUCCUCCUCCUCCUCUCUGCUGCUCUUCUCUCUCCUCCUCCUCUCUGCUCCUCAUUGCUGCUCCUCCUCCUCUCUGCUGCUCUUCUCUCUCCUCCUCCUGUCUGCUCCUCACUGCUGCUCCUCCUCCUCUCUGCUGCUCUUCUCUCUCCUCCUCCUCUCUGCUGCUCUUCUCUCUCCUCCUCCUCUCUGCUGCUCUUCUCUCUCCUCCUCCUCUCUGCUGCUCUUCUCUCUCCUCCUCCUGUCUGCUCCUCACUGCUGCUCCUCCUCCUCUCUGCUGCUCUUCUCUCUCCUCCUCCUCUCUGCUGCUCUUCUCUCUCCUCCUCCUCUCUGCUGCUCUCUCUCUCCUCCUCCUCUCUGCUGCUCUUCUCUCUCCUCCUCCUCUCUGCUGCUCUUCUCUCUCCUCCUCCUCUCUGCUGCUCUUCUCUCUCCUCCUCUUCUCUGCUCCUCCUCCUCUCUCUCCUCCUCCUCCUCUCUUCUCCUCCUCCUCUCUGUCCACAUCUUCAUACAUCUAUCAAAACAUUUUUUGGACACAUGCAGGAAACUGUGAUGGUGUCAGCAACAGUCAGUCAGUCAGUCAGUCAGUCAGUCAGUCAGACUGACAGUCAGACAGGCAGUCAGUCAGUCAGUCAGUCAGACAGACAGGCAGUCAGUCAGUCAGUCAGACAGACAGGCAGUCAGUCAGUCAGACAGACAGGCAGUCAGUCAGUCAGACAGUCAGUCAGUCAGACAGACAGGCAGUCAGUCAGUCAGACUGACAGUCAGUCAGUCAGUCAGACAGACAGGCAGUCAGUCAGUCAGUCAGUCAGACUGACAGUCAGUCAGUCAGACAGACAGGCAGUCAGUCAGUCAGUCAGUCAGACAGACAGGCAGUCAGUCAGACAGACAGUCAGUCAGACUGACAGUCAGUCAGUCAGUCAGACAGACAGUCAGUCAGUCAGUCAGACAGUCAGUCAGUCAGUCAGACUGACAGUCAGUCAGUCAGACUGA
ensembl:lncRNA